rnacentral:rRNA from 1 species
UACGGGGGGGGCAAGCGUUGUUCGGAAUUACUGGGCGUAAAGGGCGCGUAGGCGGCCUGCUAAGUCGGACGUGAAAUCCCUCGGCUUAACCGGGGAACUGCGUCUGAUACUGGAUGGCUUGGAUCCGGGAGAGGGAUGCGGAAUUCCAGGUGUAGCGGUGAAAUGCGUAGAUAUCUGGAGGAACACCGGUGGCGAAGGCGGCAUCCUGGACCGGUAUUGACGCUGAGGAGCGAAAGCCAGGGGAGCAAAGCAGGG